rnacentral:rRNA from 1 species
GAUGAACGCUGGCGGCGUGCUUAACACAUGCAAGUCGAACGGAAAGGCCCUGCUGUUGGGGGACGCUUGAGGGGCGAACGGGUGAGUAACACGUGAGUAACCUGCCCUUGACUAUGGGAUAACUACAGGAAACCUGGGCUAAUAUCCGAUAUGAGGUCCAGCGGCAUGGAGGGGCUGGGAAAGCGUCGGCGGUUGGGGAGGGACGCGCUGCGUAACAGCGUGGUGGUGGGGUCGUGGCUUACCAAGGCUUGGACGGGUAGCCGGCCUGAGAGGGGGACCGGCCCCAUUUGGACUGGGAGGCGGCCGAGAGUCCUUCGGGAGGCAGGAGUGAGGACUAGUGCAGACUGGGCGGGAGCAUGAUGCAGCCACGCCGCGUGCGGGAUGACGGUGUUCGGGUUGUAAACCCCUUUCGCAUGAGACGAAGCUUGUGUGGCGGUCAUAAGUAAAGACGCACCGGCUACCUCUG